UACGAAGGGGGCUAGCGUUGCUCGGAAUUACUGGGCGUAAAGCGCACGUAGGCGGCUUCUUAAGUCGGUGGUGAAAUCCUGGAGCUCAACUCCAGAACUGCCUUCGAUACUGGGAAGCUCGAGUCCGGGAGAGGUGAGUGGAACUGCGAGUGUAGAGGUGAAAUUCGUAGAUAUUCGCAAGAACACCAGUGGCGAAGGCGGCUCACUGGACCAUAACUGACGCUGAUGCACGAAAUCUAGGGGAGCAAACAGG
rnacentral:rRNA from 1 species